rnacentral:rRNA from 1 species
UACAGAGGUCCCAAGCGUUGUUCGGAUUCACUGGGCGUAAAGGGUGCGUAGGUGGCGAGACAAGUCGGAUGUGAAAGCUCGGAGCUCAACUCCGAAAUGGCAUUGGAAACUGUCUUGCUUGAGGAUUGGAGGGGGGACUGGAAUACUUGGUGUAGCAGUGAAAUGCGUAGAUAUCAAGUGGAACACCAGUGGCGAAGGCGAGUCCCUGGACAAUUCCUGACACUGAGGCACGAAAGCUAGGGGAG